CGUUGGUGACCAGCGGAG
rnacentral:rRNA from 1 species